rnacentral:rRNA from 1 species
UACAGAGGGUGCGAGCGUUGUCCGGAAUCACUGGGCGUAAAGGGCGCGUAGGCGGCUUGAUAAGCGUGCGGUGAAAGCCCGGGGCUCAACCCCGGGUCGGCCGUGCGAACUGUCGAGCUGGAGCACUGUAGAGGCAGGUGGAAUUCCGGGUGUAGCGGUGGAAUGCGUAGAGAUCCGGAAGAACACCGGUGGCGAAGGCGGCCUGCUGGGCAGUGGCUGACGCUGAGGCGCGACAGCUAGGGGAGCAAACGGG